ACCAGUUCUAGCCCUAGCACAAAACCUGUUUAACCAUUUCUAACAAUAAAACAAAACAUUUGACCACAGAAAGUAUCGGAGAGAGAAAUCUAACUAGGAGCCAUAGAGAUAGUACCGCAAGGGAAAGAUGAAAGAUAAACUAAAAGUGAAAAAAAGCAAAGAUUAAACCUUGUACCUUUUGCAUAAUGAGUUAACUAGACAACCCUGCCUAAGAGAACUUAAGCCAGGCACCCCGAAACCAAACGAGCUACCUAAGAGCAGUCCAAAGAACUAACCCGUCUAUGUAGCAAAAUAGUGGGAUGACUCCUAGGUAGAGGUGAAAAGCCUACCGAGCUUGGUGAUAGCUGGUUACCCAAUAAAGAAUCUCAGUUCAACUUUAAGAUUACCAUAAGAGAUACAAAUCAAAAUGUAAUCUUAAAAGAUAGUCUAAAGAGGGACAGCUCUUUAGAAAAGGGAAUAACCCUUCAUAGUGAAUAAAUCUAUAGACUAUACAAACCAUUGUUGGCCUAAAAGCAGCCAUCAACAAAGAAAGCGUUAAAGCUCAACACAAUAAUAUCUUAAUCCCACAAAUUACAAUAAUUUCCUAUGAAGUCCAAUUGGGCCAAUCUAUGACUACAUAGAUGAGAUACUGUUAACAUGAGUAACAAGAACACUGUUCUCCAGGCACAAGCCUAUAACAAACCGGAUAACCAUUGUUAGUUAACAACCAAGGCGAUUACUCUCAAAUAAACAUCACCUACAAUCUAAAUGUUAGCCCGACACAGGAGUGCCCUAAGGAAAGAUUAAAAGAAGUAAAAGGAACUCGGCAAACAAGAAUCCCGCCUGUUUACCAAAAACAUCACCUCUAGCAUAAAAAGUAUUAGAGGCACCGCCUGCCCAGUGACAAAGUUAAACGGCCGCGGUAUCCUGACCGUGCAAAGGUAGCAUAAUCACUUGUUCCUUAAUUGGGGACUAGAAUGAAUGGCUUAACGAGGAUUCAACUGUCUCUUACUUCCAAUCAGUGAAAUUGACCUUCCCGUGAAGAGGCGGGAAUUUCACAAUAAGACGAGAAGACCCUAUGGAGCUUUAAUUUACUAACUUAACUUAUCAACUAAAACCCUAUUGGAACAAACAACAAGAUAUAAGUUAGCAAUUUCGGUUGGGGUGACCUCGGAGUAUAAACCAACCUCCGAAAGAUUUUAACCAAGACCCACAAGUCAAGGUGACUAAAAUCCAAUUGACCCAAUUCUUUGAUCAACGGACCAAGUUACCCUAGGGAUAACAGCGCAAUCCUAUUCAAGAGUUCAUAUCGACAAUUAGGGUUUACGACCUCGAUGUUGGAUCAGGACAUCCCAAUGGUGCAGCAGCUAUUAAUGGUUCGUUUGUUCAACGAUUAAAGUCCUACGUGAUCUGAGUUCAGACCGGAGCAAUCCAGGUCGGUUUCUAUCUAUUAACUAUUUCUCCCAGUACGAAAGGACAAGAGAAAUGGGGCCUCCUUAAACAAAGCGCCCCCUAACUAAUAUAUGAACUUAUCUCAAUUUAGUAAGUUAGUAUCAACACACCCUAGACAAGGGGUUU
rnacentral:rRNA from 1 species